CAGUGUCUUUCGCGCACAUUUGCGCACG
rnacentral:sRNA from 1 species